rnacentral:rRNA from 1 species
UGGGGAAUAUUGCACAAUGGAGGGAACUCUGAUGCAGCGACGCCGCGUGAACGAAGAAGGCUUUCGAGUAGUAAAGUUCUUUUAUAUGGGAAGAUAAUGACGGUACCAUAAGAAAAAGCCCCGGCUAACUACGUGCCAGCAGCCGCGGUAAUACGUAGGGGGCUAGCGUUGUCCGGAAGCACUGGGCGUAAAGGGUUCGCAGGCGGAAAUGCAAGUCAGGUGUAAAAGGCAGUAGCUUAACUACUGUAAGCAUUUGAAACUGCAUAUCUUGAGAAGAGUAGAGGUAAGUGGAAUUUUUAGUGUAGCGGUGAAAUGCGUAGAUAUUAAAAAGAAUACCGGUGGCGAAGGCGACUUACUGGGCUCAUUCUGACGCUGAGGAACGAAAGCGUGGGUAGCAAACAGG